UUAAGUUCAGCGGGUAGUCCUACCUGAUUUGAGGUCAAGCAUUCAAGAAAUUGUCCUAAGACGAUUAGAAGCUGAACAUCACAGAAAGCAAUCCCCUCGCUAGUGUAGAUAAUUUAUCACACUUGUGGCAGAUCGCAGACGGUUCUGCUAAUGCAUUUCAGAGGAGCUGACCGCAAGCAAGUGGCCAGCAAGCCUCCACA
rnacentral:misc_RNA from 1 species